UGAGCAACCUGCCCUUGGCUUUGGGAUAACCCUCGGAAACGGGGCUAAUACCGAAUGUUCACUGCUGGACGCAUGUUUGGUGGUGGAAAGUUUUUCGGCUGGGGAUGGGCUCGCGGCCUAUCAGCUUGUUGGUGGGGUGAUGGCCUACCAAGGCGACGACGGGUAGCCGGCCUGAGAGGGCGACCGGCCACACUGGGACUGAGACACGGCCCAGACUCCUACGGGAGGCAGCAGUGGGGAAUA
rnacentral:rRNA from 1 species